ensembl:snoRNA small nucleolar RNA SNORA19
AUGCACAUUUCAUUGUCUUUUUUCUUCACAUCAAGAGAAAAGAUAUUUCUGAUGUGCUAAAUAAACCUGGGGGAAUAUUAGCAGCAUGGCUACUUUAGCCAGUGCUGUCAGUCACCUUCAGACAGAGAU